rnacentral:rRNA from 1 species
AGAGUUUGAUCCUGGCUCAGAUUGAACGCUGGCGGCAUGCCUUACACAUGCAAGUCGAACGGUAACAGGUUAAGCUGACGAGUGGCGAACGGGUGAGUAAUAUAUCGGAACGUGCCCAGUCGUGGGGGAUAACGUUCGGAAACGGACGCUAAUACCGCAUACGUCCUACGGGAGAAAGCGGGGGAUCUUCGGACCUCGCGCCAUUAGAUGAGCCUAGGUCGGAUUAGCUAGUUGGUGAGGUAAUGGCUCACCAAGGCGACGAUCCGUAACUGGUCUGAGAGGAUGAUCAGUCACACUGGAACUGAGACACGGUCCAGACUCCUACGGGAGGCAGCAGUGGGGAAUAUUGGACAAUGGGCGAAAGCCUGAUCCAGCCAUGCCGCGUGUGUGAAGAAGGUCUUCGGAUUGUAAAGCACUUUAAGUUGGGAGGAAGGGUAGUAACCUAAUACGUUGCUACUUUGACGUUACCGACAGAAUAAGCACCGGCUAACUUCGUGCCAGCAGCCGCGGUAAUACGAAGGGUGCAAGCGUUAAUCGGAAUUACUGGGCGUAAAGCGCGCGUAGGUGGUUCAGCAAGUUGGAUGUGAAAGCCCUGGGCUCAACCUGGGAACUGCAUCCAAAACUACUGAGCUAGAGUACGGUAGAGGGUAGUGGAAUUUCCUGUGUAGCGGUGAAAUGCGUAGAUAUAGGAAGGAACACCAGUGGCGAAGGCGACUACCUGGACUGAUACUGACACUGAGGUGCGAAAGCGUGGGGAGCAAACAGGAUUAGAUACCCUGGUAGUCC